CGAAGGCUAAGUACUCCUUACUGACCGAUAGUGAACCAGUACCGUGAGGGAAAGGUGAAAAGCACCCCGACGAGGGGAGUGAAACAGUACCUGAAACCGAACGCCUACAAUCAGUCGGAGCCCCCUUGCGGGGUGACGGCGUACCUUUUGUAUAAUGGGUCAUCGACUUGGUCUAUCUAGCAAGCUUAAGCCGUUAGGUGUAGGCGCAGCGAAAGCGAGUCUUAAUAGGGCGUCAAGUCUGUCGGAUUAGACCCGAAACCGAGUGAUCUAGCCAUGUGCAGGAUGAAGGUGGGGUAACACCCACUGGAGGUCCGAACCAGUGCCCGUUGAAAAGGUCUUGGAUGACGUGUGGCUAGGGGUGAAAGGCCAAUCAAACUCGGAAAUAGCUGGUUCUCCGCGAAAUCUAUUUAGGUAGAGCGUCUCGUGAAUACCCAUGGGGGUAGAGCACUGGAUGGGCUAGGGGGUCCCAACGACUUACCAAACCUAACCAAACUCCGAAUACCAUGGAGUAAUGCGAGGCAGACACACUGCGGGUGCUAAGGUCCGUAGUGAAGAGGGAAACAGCCCUGACCGCCAGCUAAGGUCCCUAAGUUAUCACUAAGUGGGAAACGAUGUGGGAGUGCUUAGACAACCAGGAGGUUGGCUUAGAAGCAGCCAUCCUUUAAAGAAAGCGUAAUAGCUCACUAGUCGAGUCGGCCUGCGCGGAAGAUGUAACGGGGCUAAACGUAGAACCGAAGCUGCGGAUGCACUAUGUGCAUGGUAGAGGAGCGUUCUGUACGCCUGCGAAGGUGAGUCGAGAGGCUUGCUGGAGGUAUCAGAAGUGCGAAUGCUGACAUGAGUAACGACAAAGGGGGUGAAAAACCCCCUCGCCGGAAGACCAAGGUUUCCUGCCCCAUGCUAAUCAGGGCAGGGUUAGUCGGCCCCUAAGGUGAGGCUGAAAAGCGUAAUCGAUGGGAAACGGGUUAAUAUUCCCGUACUUGUUAUAACUGCGAUGGAGGGACGGAGUAGGCUAGGCGAUCGCGGCGUUGGUUGUCCGCGUUUAAGCUAGUAGGCUGAGGACUUAGGCAAAUCCGGGUCCUUAAGGCUGAGAGGUGAUGACGAGCUCUCUUUUGAGUGAAGUCGUUGAUGCCAUGCUUCCAAGAAAAUCUUCUAAGCUUCAGGUUAUAACGAACCGUACCCCAAACCGACACAGGUGGUCAGGUAGAGAAUACCAAGGCGCUUGAGAGAACUCGGGUGAAGGAACUAGGCAAAAUGGUACCGUAACUUCGGGAGAAGGUACGCCGGUUUUGGUGAUGGGACUUGCUCCCUAAGCUGAGGCUGGCCGAAGUGACCAGGUGGCUGCGACUGUUUAUCAAAAACAUAGCACUCUGCAAACACGAAAGUGGACGUAUAGGGUGUGACGCCUGCCCGGUGCCGGAAGGUUAAUUGAUGGGGUUAGCGUAAGCGAAGCUCUUGAUCGAAGCCCCGGUAAACGGCGGCCGUAACAAUAACGGUCCUAAGGUAGCGAAAUUCCUUGUCGGGUAAGUUCCGACCUGCACGAAUGGCGUAACGACUUCCCCGCUGUCUCAACCGCGAACUCGGCGAAAUUGCACUACGAGUAAAGAUGCUCGUUACGCGCAGCAGGACGGAAAGACCCCGGGACCUUUACUAUAGCUUGGUAUUGGUGUUCGGUGCGGCUUGUGUAGGAUAGGUGGGAGACUGUGAAGCGGACACGCCAGUGUUCUUGGAGUCGUUGUUG
rnacentral:rRNA from 1 species